rfam:Gossypium raimondii Chr06_contig_323, whole genome shotgun sequence.
AAUUAAAAUUUUUAUCCACUUUCUAGAGUUAAAAAUUGACAUGAUUAACGAAAUAAUUAGACAAUUAUACAUGGCGUGCCGCAUAUACCUCAUGUUGACGUACAAUGACCAAAUUUUUAACAAUAGAAAUAUAUGAAAUUUUUAACA